rnacentral:rRNA from 1 species
GAGUGGUAGGAGAGCGUUCUUUCUUCCGUCGAAGGGGUACCGU